CCUAAGCCGAAAGUAGUAAAACAGAACAGAGAAAAAAAACAGUUGAUCACAGGGUUGAUUUAGAAGUAUUUUCCUAUUCGAAAAGAAAAUGAGGACGACUUUCUCGUUAUUGCUGACUUACUUUUUGCAUUUAACAACACCUCAUAUUGGUUGGACAAUACCACUAAAUAAUUCUGAUGACGCUAUGGUGGAGAUGCCUUUAGUUACAAAUAACAUGAAAGCACCACUGGUGGCGGAUCUCGAUGUUUCUUCUUUAAACAAACAACUAAAGCUCUAUAUAGAUAUAGCUAUUUCUACAACAUUUACUAGUAAAGUUAAGGAGAUUGUUGAACAUAGCCAAGAUGAACUUAGAACUACAAUGUUGACAACCUAUAAGGAAAGGUUACAGGAAUCAAAGACUGUGUAUGAGGAGGAUUUAGCUCAUUUGGUUGACGGAUUUAAAUCUCGAUUAGGAAGUCUAUUCAGUGAUUUGACGGAAAACGUUACAGAUUUGAUAGAUAAUUUAGAAGAAUGGAAGAAAGGCUACACUCAAACAAUUUCAGAGAAAUACAGACCUGUGAAUUUACCAAGAGACUGUACUGACAUAAAAAAAAGUAAUACGAAAAGUGGCGUUUAUACAAUAUACCCAGAUAAUGUUAAUGGUAUAAAAGUCUAUUGUGACAUGGAUGUGGAUGGCGGUGGCUGGAUCGUAAUCCAAAGACGGUCAGAACGCAAGGUGAAAUUUGAGAGAACUUGGAACGAAUAUGAAAAUGGUUUCGGAGAGGUCGCCGGAGAACAUUGGCUUGGCAAUAAAUAUAUCCAUCUUCUUACGAAUACCGGAAAAUUUGAACUGCGAGUGAAUAUGGAGAUAAAAGAAGGCGGGCAAAUUUAUGCUGUAUACAAGUCGUUCAAACCAGUGAUGCUGCAUCUCAGUACCAGAUAACAGUCGAUGGUUACAGUGGAACAGCAGCUGACGGUUUACAACGACAGUCAUCUGGAAAAUUCUCAGCAAUAGAUCGCGACAACAGUGGUGGUAAUAAUUAUGCAGUAAGCCACGGAGCAUGGUGGUACAAAAGUGGUUCCAAUACUUGGUUAAACGAUGAUCAAAGAGAAAAUUACUGGAAAAAGUAUAUUGGUCCGAAGUCAACCAUGAUGAUCAGAAGAUUAUAAAAUAGUUUGUUAAGGUUCAUUUUUAUAUUCUAACCCAAAGGAAACAAUAAACUUUUGCAGAGUAGACAGCAACUUUUUUUCUCUUUCAUAUUUAUUCUGUAACCAAAUACACUGUUGUAAAAUGUCGAAUGCAAGUGCGCUUUUACCUAUAGAAUGCAAGAAUGUCUUAUUGUUAUAUGCAACCUAAAAGAAUGAUUUUGAAGUUUAUUAGCUGCAAUUAAACAAAUAAUUUAAAAUAAUGAAGCUAUUGUUUUCCUACAAACGCAUUUGUAAGUAAUCACCUGCAUUGUUCUCAGUGGCUUCACCCAUGAUCAAAAACAAUAGAAAAUUUACUCUUCUUAUGAAGAAGUCAAGAACAUCAACAGUAAAACAAUAUCAGUCACAAUACAAAUCAAAAUAUAUUUCUAAACAACAAUCGUACAUUUCAAAGAAAUUAUUUGUUAAACUGUGUUAUUAGAAAUAUACAUGCAAAUACACGAUGAUUUAUGUUUUUAUCGAGAUAAUUGUAUCAGAACCGCGAGUUGGUUGACCGUUAUGGAAAACCUAUUUCACAGGUGACAACGAAUAUGUUCCAAUUGUCGUAAUCACAGUCUCGUCCUCUUUUUCCCGAAAGUUACCUACCGAGUUAGACUUAUCACCGGGUUUGUACUUACAGGAGUAACACGACGGGUGCCAUAUGUGGAGCAGGAUCUGCUUACCCUUUCGGAGCACCUGAGAUCAUCCCGGUUUUUGGUGGGUUUGUGUUGCUCAGUCUUUAGUUUUCUAUGUUGUGGUUUGUGUACUGUUGUUUGUCUUGGUCCUUUUCCUUUUUUUACCAUGACGUCGUUUGUUUAUUUUCGACUUAUGAGUUUGAACGUCCCUUUGGUAUCUUUCGCCUCUCUUUUGUGAAACUGAAAUUUAAAAAGUGUUAAUCUUUGCUGCAUAUUUAUAAAAAAAAAUCAUGAACUCACAAAAUCUAAAGAUCUUUUGGGUGACCAAUUUUCUGAAUGUUCCACAUGUUCUUAGCAUGUUAUAAUUUCCCAAAAUAUACCUAGUUUCCAAGUCUAAUAGAAAUAUAGAACUCUGAUUUCGUUAUACUCCAUAUGGAGUAUAACGAAAUCAGAGACUGCUAUUUUCCACAUCUAAAAUUUUCGAGUAUACCGGUCUGCUCUUUUCGUGUGAACUUUCAAAAUAGAAAUAUUGUCUUUUCGUGAAUAAAACAAAUUAAAAGUCGUGUAUGUGCAGGUUCAAAUAUUAAAGAUAAAUAUUUUUAUAAAGCAGGGUAUCCGUUAAAUUUUUUUACUAUUUUUUUAUACAAUUUUAGGAAAAGGUCGUCUCGAUUUCUGUACAUGUAUUUGAGGUUUUCUUGGUCUAUUCACAUUCAAUGUCUACAUCCGGAUAAGGUCCGUUUGAAUUUGCUUAGUAACUUAAUUUCAAAAGUGUAAUUUUUUUUCAUAUCAAUCGAUUCCUUUAGUAUUUUUCCUCUGUACUUCUCUCAUCUAGCUGCAUACAUAUACGAAUAAUUGGAAUGUUUCAAAUAGGUAUACAGCAGUAGUCAAAUAAAUUGAAGAUGGUACUUCAGGAAUUCAUUCACAUAGCAACAUUUUAAACCAAUUAUAGCCUACUGACACGUCGUUUGUUAUUUCAGGAGGGAAAUGAUUAUAUGGAAAUUUUGUUCUUAUUUUAAUUCAUUCUUAUUGUUACUAUUUACCAGAACGUUUUCUUGUAAAAUUAUAGUUAUUAGUAUUCUUGCUAAAUAAAGGCAACAGUAGUA